CAACACACCCACACAACACACCUAGCACACUAGCUCUCAAGCUCUCUUGUACAAACACUCUUGUAAUUAUUCAAAGUGUAAUACAAUCAUCUUUGGCCAUUCCACUCUUACUUCCCUUAACAUUUUCUCCAAGUGUGUGUGCUUGGCUUGUUUAGGGAGUAAUCUAGGCUUACUUGGCAACUCACACGCUGAGGUCGCUCAAGUGCCGCACGGGAACUUGCUGCGCAAAACUAUCACCCCGUGACAACUGGAUAGGCAUGCUUAUGGGGAAUAAGAGAAUGUGAAUUCUUGAUCCUCUGUUCUUUCUUUUUUUUUUUUUUGCCCCCAAUUUUUUUUUUCUUUUUUUUAUUAUUAUUAUUAUUAUUUUGGCUUCCAACAACUUUCUUCUUCUUUUUUUUUGGUGGCGAUGCUGGUAUUAGAUGAGAUGCUGUGUUGCGGACAUUGAUUGAAUUUGGGUGAUGACUUGGGAAAUUAAUGUAAUUUUUAAUAUUAAUUAUAUGUAGCACAAAUAUGAGAGAAUUUCAAUAAUAUUAAACGAUAGUUGGAUGAAAUGCUGAACCAAAGAGUUUACAUUUUCAAUCAUACAAAUGAAAGUUCAUGGUUAUUGUAUUUGAUCUCACUUAGCACGCCGACUAAUAAUUCUUGAUCCUAAUAUGGAGGAAAAUAAUCUGACAAAAUCUAAAUUAUGGCACUUAUCUGGAUGUCUAAGCACAUUUCGGGAAGUAAUCCUGCAUAAUGUUGACACAUUCAUUCGCAUGUAUGCAAAACUGUCUCAGUUUCAAACUCAGCUUGAAAUACAAUGCAGCAUUUAACAUUUGCACCUAUCUGUUCCAGUGAUCUUCCAUUCAUGCAUUUGCACUACUAAUGGAUCCUCAAAUCAAAUUUAGAAAAAAAAAAAGCAAAAAUUACAGGACUAAAUCAUUAAUAUCAUUCACAAUGAUCGAUCAAAGAUAUGAAAUCUGCAAUUCAAAUUAGCCAUGUUUAGUCAGUGAAAGAAGACCAGACACUAGGAGCUUCUGAAGCCUAGGAACCGAUCUACAAGUUCGGCUACAGAGUUGGCAAGCUUGUCUGCUGCUUCUUGUGUGGAUGCCUCUGCAUAUACACGUACGACAUCCUCAGUGCCCGACGGCCGUAUGAAAGAUCGGCCAUUACGAUAUUUUGCUGCAUCAAAAAUAAAAAUCCUCGUGGUUAUAUAUGGCUGGUAUCUCAAAAGAUUAGGGGAAACUAAUAACAUCAUGAUUAAUAAGUUCUAUCACAUUAUUAAAAUUGUUGUGGGAGGAUCAUAUCUACAUAUAUAAAUGCAACUUUUAACAAAACAGCACAUUACACAGUUUCAACAUUUCAAGGAAUCUGUGGAAUUACUUUCUGCCUUCACUUUCUUCACAUAAAUUCAGAUAAUGUACAAAGUUAGUCCAAUUGAAGUUGACGAAAUAUUUGGAUGUUAUAGAUAAUCAAUGAAUUUAUGGACGUUUAAGAUAAUUGAUAAGCAAAGAUUAUUACACAAAAUUUCAGUUUUAAAAAUUCAAGACUGAGUGAUACUUCAUUUACCAGUUUCAACAUUAAUGGCUUCUUGAAUGCCUGGGGGCUUCACAGCUACAGUUUCUGCAUUUGCUGUAACAACAGCGGUUCUAUCCCCAACUUUAACCUGAAAAUCAAGGAAUAUAAGUGAAAGCAUAAUCAACUUUUUAAGAUGAAGGAGAAAAAGGACAAGGGAAAAAGGUAGUUAUCAUAUGGACUGCCGAUUAAGCUACAUCAUGAAUGAUUUACCUUAUUUAGCACCAAAAUAUAAUGGGAAAAGACAAUGGAUAACACAAUAAAACAAUCAAAGAAGAUAAAAAAUCUUGGAACAUCAGCCCCAGAAACUUGCAACUAUUUGGAGAGGGCCUAUGCUUGAAUUGUGAGGGAAUACACUUAGAAGUGGGGGUUAACUUAGAAAUUGGGCCACCAAGACAACUAACUAGCUGGGGUGCACUUAGCAAAACCCCCACCAAGGCCCAAAGUCAACCAAGGCCCAAGGGUCUAGAACUCUCUACAUAUUAUCCAUUCACUAGAACUUUCUAGGACUCACCACUUGGGUCCCUUAGUGUUUUGCCACUUGUAAUAGAAUUCUCUAGAAUUAGGCAUUCCACCCCCUAUAAAUAUGGGUGAGCAACCAUCAUUCACACAACCACCAACACACCCACACAACACACCUAGCACACUAGCUCUCAAGCUCUCUUGUACAAACACUCUUGUAAUUAUUCAAAGUGUAAUACAAUCAUCUUUGGCCAUUCCACUCUUACUUCCCUUAACAUUUUCUCCAAGUGUGUGUGCUUGGCUUGUUUAGGGAGUAAUCUAGGCUUACUUGGCAACUCACACGCUGAGGUCGCUCAAGUGCCGCACGGGAACUUGCUGCGCAAAACUAUCACCCCGUGACAACUGGAUAGGCAUGCUUAUGGGGAAUAAGAGAAUGUGAAUUCUUGAUCCUCUGUUCUUUCUUUUUUUUUUUUUUGCCCCCAAUUUUUUUAUUCUUUUUAUUAUUAUUAUUAUUAUUAUUUUGGCUUCCAACAACUUUCUUCUUCUUUUUCUAUGGUGGCGAUGCUGGUAUUAGAUGAGAUGCUGUGUUGCGGACAUUGAUUGAAUUUGGGUGAUGACUUGGGAAAUUAAUGUAAUUUUUAAUAUUAAUUAUAUGUAGCACAAAUAUGAGAGAAUUUCAAUAAUAUUAAACGAUAGUUGGAUGAAAUGCUGAACCAAAGAGUUUACAUUUUCAAUCAUACAAAUGAAAGUUCA
rnacentral:lncRNA from 1 species